AAAAUUGGAGGGUAACAUUAUCUGCCUUCAGUUUACAGUUGACUUUUGAAGGCUCCAGUAUAACUUUCUCAGUCUCCUCCAUCAAUGUGGAAUGUAAAAUUUUCUUCUCUUCAUCAAUUACAUUCUCAAGCUUUGAAACUACAAAGUUCUUCAUCACACUGGUUGUGAGGUAUGCGGCUCUCUUGAUGGAUGUAAUUUCUUCAUUACUUUUUGCAGAAAACCCAUUUGCCACAUCACUCAGAUUAAAUUUUGAACUUUUUAAUUUUUCAGCCCAUGCUUCAAGCAAUUUCCCUUCAAGUUCCUCCCUAGCUAUGUGUCCAACAGUGGAUGAAUCAUGGCCAUC
rnacentral:lncRNA from 1 species